AACGAACGCUGGCGGCAGGCCUAACACAUGCAAGUCGAACGCUCCGCAAGGGGAGUGGCGCACGGGUGAGUAACACGUGGGAACCUACCUUCUGGUACGGAACAACCAAGGGAAACUUUGGCUAAGACCGUAUACGACCUCCGGGUGAAAGAUUGAUCGCCGGAAGAGGGGCCCGCGUCCGAUUAGGUAGUUGGUGAGGUAACGGCUCACCAAGCCUUCGAUCGGUAGCUGGUCUGAGAGGAUGACCAGCCACACUGGGACUGAGACACGGCCCAGACUCCUACGGGAGGCAGCAGUGGGGAAUUUUGCUCAAUGGGCGCAAGCCUGAAGCAGCAACG
rnacentral:rRNA from 1 species